rnacentral:rRNA from 1 species
CCUACGGGAGACAGCAGUAGGGAAUCUUUCACAAUGGGCGAAAGCCUGAUGGAGCAACGCCGCGUGCAGGAUGAAGGCCUUCGGGUUGUAAACUGCUUUUAUAAGCGAGAAAUAUGAUGGUAACUUAUGAAUAAGGAUCGGCUAACUACGUGCCAACAGCCGCGGUCAUACGUAGGAUCCGAGCAUUAUCCGGAGUGACUGGGUGUAAAGAGUUGCGUAGGUGGCAUAAUAAGUAGCUAGUGAAAUCUGGUGGCUCAACCAUUCAGACUAUUAGCUAAACUGUUAAGCUCGAGACCGUUAGGGGUAACUGGAAUUUCUAGUGUAGGAGUGAAAUCCGUAGAUAUUAGAAGGAACACCAAUAGCGUAGGCAGGUUGCUGGGACGGUUCUGACACUAAGGCACGAAAGCGUAGGGAGCAAACGGGAUUAGAUACCCGAGUAGUC